CAGGAUCAGACCCAUGUCUCCUGCAUCUCCUGAAUCGGCAGAUAGGAAACGCUGAAAAGCAGCAUGGAUCCGGGUCUGUGUGAGGCCAUGUGGCUUUCGUGGGAAAACAUUUGGAAAAUAUGGAGGCCGGAUGACUACGAACUGCAGAGUUGAUGUCACUUUGUUGAGGUGAGAUCAUUCUGGAAUAACUGAGUGGGUCCUAAGCCCAAUUAUAAGUGUCUUUAUGAGAAGAAGACAUAGACGCACAGAAGAGAAGACAGUGUGAAGAUGGAGACAGAGAUUGGAGUGAUGCGGCCACAAGUCAAGGAAGCCAAGGAAUGCUGAUGGUCACCAGAAGACAAGAAACAGAGAAAAUGUCUUUCUGAGAGCCUCCAGAAAGAGCUGAUACUUUGAUUUCAGCUUUCAGGCCUGCAGAACUGUGCAAGAAUCCUUUUCUCUUGCUUUAAGCCACCCAACUUGUGGUAAUUUGUUCCAGAACCCCUAGGAAAUACAUGCGUCUCUCUGUUUAAGUUCUCCAUCUCUUCAUUCAUGUAUUAUA